rnacentral:lncRNA from 1 species
ACCGCUGAAGCAUCUUCGCACACCAAGAUCGACGAUGCAUUAUAGCAACACUUCUCGCAUUGCAUACGUUUUUACCCGAGGUAACAGUCUGAACUUUGUAAGUGUGCAGGGCCAAAAUGUCUUGUUACUUGUCAGGGCUGGGAUCCCCAUAUGAAACUAGACCUUGCUGUUCUCCUGACAGCGAGCUCGACCUUGACCUACUAGUUGUUCUACCACGCCGUUUUGGUGGUGCAGCAUCUGGAGAUUUCGAAAGGGAAGAUGACCUGCUCCUUGACCUUGACCUGGAUGCUGACCUCAAUCUUCCUUUACUCCUCCUUGAUUGGUCAUCAUCAAUUCGAGGGCCGAGACGAGAUUUCAAACCGUCACUGACAGGAGGCCGCUUGUCUUUUGGACUAGGACUUUGAACCGGGCUCUGGCUUCUGCUGCGACCUCUGUUCCGCUCGC